UUUGUGUGAUUUUGUUGUCAGCACAUAUAUAUUCCAUUCAUUCAGAUCUAGGAUGUGUUCUUUUAGUGUUCCCUUUAUUUUUUUGAGCAGUGUAUAUAUGAAUGUCACUUUUAUCCAAAUGGGUGCAUACAUUUUUACCUACAGGGGGUCCUAGGAAUCAAACCCACUGUCCUUGCAUUGCAAGCGUCAUGCUCUUCCAACUGAGCUCCCUCUUUAUUGUCCUGUCUCCAUUCUAUCCUCCUCCUACCCCUCCUCCGUCCUCCACACUUUCACCCCAGAAGCCCACUUUGAGCUGGCCCUGGUGUUGUGGAGUGGCCCAAGGAACAAUGGCCCUACCAGCCCAUAUGGAGACAAAGUGUAACCACGGUGAUGGAGCUGUGGCAGAUCUUUAUAUUCCCAUCAUGUAGCAAAAACCCUUUCAGAUAAUUCAUGUAGUACAGCAGGAGACGCGGAGAGAGGGGAAGAUUAAGGAAAAGGUUUGCAUGACAAAUUAAUGUCUGUGUGUGACCAUUACAUUAAUCCCUAGUGUGUGUGUGUGCUCAGUGGGCCAGCCUUACUGGUGUCUUUACGUAAAGCCAUAACCAUGGCAAUGCCAAGCAGUGUCCAAUAAAAGGCUGCCUUGCUGUCUGUCUGCCUUGCCAACCUACGUAGCACAGCAUGCUCAACAUCAGCAGAUGGAGAUAGAUGGAAGAUCGAGGUGGGAGAAAAGGACAGGAAUAUGUCUAACGUCUCACCCUCCAUCGAGUGGAGCCCUCUGUGAAUGCAGCCUGCUGUAUCAUCCAUCUAUGUGGGGGACAUGUUUGGUCUGUCAAAGAAGAGGAUCUUUCAUUUACCAGAGUUAGGUAUCUUUGUGAUCUGUUGAGGAAAAAUCUCUUUGAUAUGUGCUAGAAAAGGAUGACUGUACAGUGGGGAUCUCUCCUCAUUGUGUGUUUCUGAGGAGGAUCGUUUGUGUCUUUUGUGUUGGCCAAGGCUCUCGGAAUAAUAGUUAAUAGGAUACUGUGGCUACAUGUUACAUUGCAUCAGCCCAUAGAAAAUACGUGAUUCAGGGAUGGCCCCCUCACUAUUUGAAUCGUCAACAGUACAUGUUGACUAUGCUGACCUUUGUUUUGGUGAAGACUAAAAAAUAAUUGCAUGACAAGGGUGAUAGGAUGAUAUUGAGCUAUAAAUGCAUUGAACUCAACAUCUGUCAAUAAUGCUAAAGACACCACCCUGUCUUGACGGAACACUACAAAAGAACGACAAGCGACAGGGUGAGGAAGAGGAACAAGAGGAGGAACAAGAGGAGGAACAGAAGGGAGAAUAAAAGGUUCAUUCAUCAUGAUUUUGACGUUGCCCUUCUCCUACCAUGCUCCCAUACCCUGUGUGGGUGCUGUGUCGGGCGUGGGGAGGGGGCAGGGUGAUGUGUACUAAGUGAGGAAGGGGUGUGCCAUGCUUCCCAAGGUGGCACCCGUUCUGCCCACCACCGCUCUAUCAGUCCCCCUAUGUGUGCCGUUUUGUGCCCUUGCUGUUGCCACCCUGUGGAGCCGCCAUGCUGGGAGUGGGCUUCUGCCACCUGCUGCCUGCCUCCCGACCCCUGGGUGGACAGCCAGUAGAGCUGGGGAACAGGCGGAAGGAGGGACGAAGGCCUUCUCACAGGGGAAUCCAUUCGUCAGGGACACAGGGGAUGUCAAGGACCAGAGCACUGCUGCAUAUGGCUCACCACUGGAGGGUGCUAUAGACCUACAAGAGGAAGAGAUGGAACAGUCUGUCAGUCUGACGUUCACCCUGGAUCCCUCUGCUGCUGCUCCAUCCCUCCACCUCCUCCCUCACUGUGACCUACCACGGACCAAGCCCUCCGUCACUACCCUCUCAUCACCAUAGCAACAGGGUCACUGGUUCAGUAUCCCAGGAGUCUUCCCCUCAGCUCCUCCCUCAGGUGUGUGGGGACGUGGUCAUCGUCAGGGGUCAGUUUUACUGGGAGGAGGAUGUCUGCAACAGCACUCUGUAUAGGAUAGGAGUGAGCUCAUUGGACGAUGCUUGCGGCUGGUGACUUGAAAGGCGGGGCUUGUCCUUCUCCACUGUGUACGAUAGCUGUCGGGAGCCCUUACUGCCCACUCGCUUCAGCAACGCUGGGGUGCGUCCCGCUCUGGGGCUGGGCCAGGGCAGGCUGAGGCUCCGCUGUGGCCUACCCCCUCCACCCCACAUCUUCCUCAGCCGAGCGUCCGCCGCGUCCACUGGUGGGGGUCGCUGGCGCAGAGACAUGCCCUUCCAGUCUGUUAGGGCGGUCAUCCAGAAGUUUGAGGAGCUGGCGAUGUCAGAUUCUGACUCGGGGCUGGUGUCCAGUUUUGGGUCGUCCUGCUCCACUCUGGCCUCCUUGGCCGAAGCAGGCCCAGGUCUAGGCUUCAGCCUCAGCCCAGGAGCAGCUUGCCAUCCUGGGCAAGAGGGGAAGGGGGCUUGGGCAGAGUAACAUGUGGAGGACAGAUGGGAUUGUACCUUGUACAAUGAUGGGCCUCUACCCGCUGGUGAUAGGAGCAAACUACUACCACAUCACAUUACAAAUAGGUUUUUAUAAGGUUGGUGAUGACACUGUGUCACAAAUUUGGGAUAAACUUGUGAGAUGGAAGGGCCAUUCUUCUGCUUUAUGAUAGGAGAAAACCAUUUUGCAUGAGCUUGAUCUUUGGAUGACUAAUUUCUCAUCUCUGAGGAACUCUGUGACUUUCUCAUCAGUGUGAUUGUGACCUAGUAGUUUACUUUCUCCCCAGGACGCUGGGCUUCCUCUCAGCUACACAACCCCCAGAGGUUUGGGGCUGGGCCCGGGCUGUCUGUAGGAGGAGGAGGAUUUCUCACUGGGGGUCCCACACUCUGGUGUGGGGGUUGAUGGUAGGACAGUAGGGUUGAUACGGGUGGUGGCGGUGUGUGUGAGGAUGUGAGGUGUGGGAGUCAGUGGCAGGGACACUACCAGUGUUAACACUGGGUCACAAAGACAAGUGGUAAAGUACAUUUAUCCAGUGGUGUGUGUGUGUGUGUGUUUCUCCCUCUGCCCCAUCUUGUCUCUCCAUGAUCUCUCUGUUUUCUCUUUUUUUCUGCUUUUUGCAUGUUCUGGAAAGGACAAUCCAAUCAUUUGGUCAGACCACCCAAGUUUUAAAUCACAUUGUAAAAAUUUAAAAAAAUCCACCAAAUUAAAACAACCAUCAAUCACGGGAAGAGCCGUUUGUACCCGUGGAGAGGAGAAAACAAGAAGUCCACCGAGUUGGGCUGGGCCAAUAAUUUAAUUCAUUGACGUGCUACUUGUCACGCAUCUUCAGGGAACAUAAUUACGCACAAAAGACUGCGUCAGUAUCAGUGGAAUAAUUCGGAAGAGACGGUUGGUCUGUGAGUCAAAUGCGCUGUUACACUGUCGCCCCCCGAAACACUAAUCUUGAUGACUGUGUUGAUGUUUAAUGGUCGAGGUAUUUACCGCAGGAAUAAAAAUGUGUGUACUGCGGCCAGUUAUCACUGGGUUCUCGACUCUUGAGAACUAUCAACUUUCCAAAGCCGCUUAAAAUAAAGUGUGGAAGUAAUCUCACUCUUAUAAACAAAAUUAGAAGGGGUAAUGCAGAAUUCAAAGGCACUCAGUAAUGAGGUUUCUGUCGGGGUGGGAUUCAAGCUUGGUGUUUGCUUAUCGAGGGGGGAGCAGAUCUGUAAGCAACACGGGAACAGCUGUAGAGAAGAACAGAACCACAUAGACCCUGAACGUUACAUACAGUACUGUAGGUGUCAGUGAGUUAUUAUUUUGGUGCCAACGUUUAGGCCGAGUACUAUAACGGACACAACGGUCUGGUAACAUUAGAGAAUCAAGACUAGGCCUAAACUACUAUAUAAUAUCACAUAUAUAUACAGCAGGCUGCUACAGUGACGACUUGGAGUGACGCAAUUGUACAAGCCUAAAGUGAGAGAUAUCACAGUUGGAUCCGAGGUGUCAAAGACAAGUGGUGUUGUGUCCCCGUCCUCCCCACGUUUCCAUGCCAAUGGCUUCUGGUCGCUAAUUGCAUGGAUGGCAAUAAUUAGACUCACACUCUCCAUCUAGGGAACCCUCGAAAAUGGAUUGUGAGAAAAAGACAACCAGGAGCACCAAUUUAAUUCGCACCCCCGUCCACUUUCAUUUAGCCGUUUCGGCAGUGUAUGCGUAUUGAUUCCGAGCGUUUAUACAUGAAUAAACAUGAAUUCUAACCAGACCGGCAUUUACAUUUUGAGUGGCUUUUCUCUACUUUCCAUUGCUAGGAGUAACACAAGAAUUAGCCUGACAACACCAGGUCAUGUAGGCCUGGUUGGUCUUAUUACCAUCAUUAUCAACAUCAGCAUAACAUUAGCUAUAAAGACAUCAUCCCUUACCGUUUUGUUGUUCUGUCAGUUGCCAUUAAGAACCAAAUUGGAGGCAGCAAAAGGUUCUUCCCCGAGACACAUCCUGGUUUCAAUUGACCUCAUAAUGUGUCAGUGUAGAUGAUUAGUGCUGAAUAUGACCGAUUUAUAUUUCAUCAUGUAUAAGUUUAAUUUAUAAACACUGGCAUGACUAUUCAAUCACUGGCAUGUUAUUAUUUUUUCCAUCAUUAGGCUAAAUAAUAUCCACCUCCUCCAAGAGUCAUAUUAAGGAUUUUAUCAAGGGUAAAAUAAAAUGAGUCAUCGUAUUUCUGACGACGCUCUAUAAAAGUGAACUAAUCAGUGAGCAACUUUCCUUUUUUCUGAGUUGUUCUUGAGAAACAAAAUUCCGUCUCGAUGUCUGGACUUGAUAAAGCGAGCAGUGGUCCAAGGAGAGCGCGGGAGACAGGAUGUCCAUACUCCAUUCAGCGCAUUUGUUCUGGUUUGUUUCACGACAUUUACACUCGAGUCAGAAAUGAUUGAGACUGGAAUGUAAAUUAUAAUUAAGGACAUCAGGCAUAUUACCAAACAAAUCCAUCUCUCAGGUGCCACAGCGGGUUAAAUGUGCGUGCGUAAAAGAGGGACUGAAAUUGUAGUGACCUCGUUGUCGACCUCUGCCAUUUGAUCAGUGUACAUAAAACCGUGAUGUGGAACAGGUGGUGUUGGGGGCGCCCUGUAACCGGUUGGUACACAUCUGCCAGGCUAUCUGCUCCCCCUUCUCGCUGUAUAUUCGACUGGGCUGGUAUAUUCACACCUCCCAGUAUAAUCCAACCAGCAAACAGGAUGUGGUCCCGAACGUGUGCCAGUCAGACGGAAAGAGGAUGGAGUGAGGGUUUCUGGGGUAGUAGGCCUACACAAAUGAAACAUGCGCUGCUGCGUUUAUGCACUUUCGGCUGUCUGUAUUCGACACCAUCAGCAAAUACACAGGGAAGAGGCAUGAUUGCAUCAAAAGCAACAAUAUGUUCUCACAUAGGCCUAUAUAGCGUCUCUGUUUCUUUGAUCGGGUCCUAUUUUAGGCCUCGGGUGUGUCCUAUCUUCAGGGAGAACAUAUUACACAACACUUUGACUAUAAAAAUAGGCAUGGUGUCUGGUUUAUAUUAGGUUGGGUCUUAUCGGAAUUGUAACCUUAUCACUCUCAUAAAACGCUGGUCACGGUUAAUCGAUUGUAUUAGAACGCAAUCAAUGUUUUUUGGCAUAUGACUUCAGACGCGUGCGCUCUCUCUUUCCUUUUCCCUCUCAUUUUCUCUUCCUCUCGCUCAUCUCUUCUUUAAAUGAAACCACUAGUCAAGGCUUAGGGGAACGACUGUAAACUCCUGGCUAAGCUACUUUCAUUCUUGAAGUGGGUGCGAGAAUGAGACUCACUUUUUUAAAAUCGGCAGGUAAGGACAAACUCUACACUAGCUACUGAGGUGGAGAGACUACUUUUCAACCCUGAAUCCGUUACUUUUACCUAUACAAUAAUAGGAGGCUGUACAAUAGACCCAAUAAUAUGUGCAACAUUAAAGAAGGUAUUACAACACCCAGAAUCUAUAAACCAGAUGUUGUAUUAUCUCAGGCAUGUCCACACACACACACACAUCAUUUUUGGAAUUCAGAAAAGUACACCUACUGUGUAGCAAUCCAUGUGUGUGGGGAAAUACACAAAAGCUCCCCUCAUUACUCUGAGUGUGACCCGCAUAAUAUAAAUGUGUGGUGUUACCUCCAAUUGACAAUUCGCUAGCCAGUCUAAUGAAUUGGUCCGUGCAGCAAUAAAUAAAAGCGGCGGUUAUCACUUCGUGAUGAAGUGCAAAUAGACCAUCAUCGAUUCCAUUUCACGGGUGCGCGAAGUGAACGGAGGAGAGGGGAACCCGCGUGUGAAUUCACUCACCUAAAUGGAAGUCUCUCACAGCCACAUAAUGUGACAUAUGCAUAAAAAUUGCACGCUGUCCUCACACAUACAACUUCUCUAGCUCCAACAGUGCAGUAAUAUCUAGCAAUACAAAACAAUAUACACAAAUCUCAAAAUAAAUUAAAAGAAGGAAAUGAAGAAAUAACAGAACAAACAAUGUCAGGAAUAUAAAAUGUAAUGUAUCUACACUACCAGUCAAAUGUGUGGACACCUACUCAAGGGUUUAAAAAAAAUAAAAUGUAAACUAUUUUCUACAUUGUGGAAUAAUAGUGAAGACUUCAAAACUAUGAAAUAAAACAUGGAAUCAUGUAGUAACCAAAACAGUGUUAAACAAAUCCAAAUAUAUUUUUGACUGGUACUGUAUUUCUGUACUUUAUAUGUACUUUCACCACCAAACUGGCAUGUCAGAUCUGUACUUUUUCAAAAAUAAUGUUUAUUUGCUCUUCAAUUUCGGCUACAAUGUCUGUCUAUAGCAUAAACACAAGGGGACAAAAUAAGUCCGUUUUAUUCCAAUGCUUUGACAGAUAUUUAGGUCCACCUACACUGGCGCUGGGGAACUAGCCAUAAAUACAAACGGAUGCAGAAAAUAUAAUGCAAUUUUAUUCAAAUAGCCUAAGAUUGGUGCUGGCACAAUCAUAUAAUAAUACAACCGACAAUUAUAGACAAUAACCAUGGACCCCAAAAAAUAUAUUGACAUAAUUGUCUUAAUAUAUUAAUUUUAGGAGAAGAGGGGAUUCAACUUCAUACCGUAUGUAAGUAGAUCUAGCUUACCCAAUAGCAGUUUUUCAUUUUUACAGUUUUUUUUAUGAGUAGAACACCACAGUUGGGAGGAAAAGCUUAAUUCGUGUUUUGAAGGGUGUCGCCAAAGCUGUGUUGUAUGCAUUAGGUAUGAUGUCACAUUUUCAGAGAUGCAUUAUUAAAAAUCUAUAUAUAUUUUAACUAGACAAGUCAGUUAAGAACAAAUUCUUAUUUACAAUGACGGCCUACCGGGGAACAGUGGGUUAACUGCCAUUGCACGACUGAUUUUUACCUUGUCAGCUCGGGGAUUCGAUCCAGCAACAAUUCUGUUACUGGCCCAACACUCUAACCACUAGGCUACCUGCCGCCCCAAACACAAUUAUGAUGCAUUAGGCCUACAAAUUCAAAAAAUGUUUCGACAAUAACCGUUACCCAAAAUGUAAUAAUCGUCACAGCCCUACCUAAGACUUUAGAAGACUUUAAUUUGGAUAAAGGCCUAUGCUUCGAGACAUCGUUGUCCCUUUCUUUUCAUAGUUGUUGUUUAUAGCACUUGUUAGAGCCAGGGUCAUUCGGGCAGAAUAGGGGACGUGCUGGUUUCUUAUUGAAUGGGAUAGGUUAUCGCCAUUGAGUAUAUUGUAUCGUCAUGUUUAGCAUGUGGAUGGAUUGGGGAGGGUUUAGAGGCGAGAGACCUGCACCGUUUCCGGAGCGCGACAGACAAAGCUACAAUCAGUGAUAGAUACAUGGUUCUUCUCUAGCAG